AGUGAACGCUGGCGGUAGGCCUAACACAUGCAAGUCGAACGGCAGCACAGUAAGAGCUUGCUCUUACGGGUGGCGAGUGGCGGACGGGUGAGGAAUACAUCGGAAUCUACUUUUUCGUGGGGGAUAACGUAGGGAAACUUACGCUAAUACCGCAUACGACCUACGGGUGAAAGCAGGGGAUCUUCGGACCUUGCGCGAUUGAAUGAGCCGAUGUCGGAUUAGCUAGUUGGCGGGGUAAAGGCCCACCAAGGCGACGAUCCGUAGCUGGUCUGAGAGGAUGAUCAGCCACACUGGAGCUGAACCACGGUCCAGGCUCCUACGAGAGGCAGCAGUGGGGAGUAUUGGACAAUGGGCGCAAGCCUGAUCCAGCCAUACCGCGUGGGUGAAGAAGGCCUUCGGGUUGUAAAGCCCUUUUGUUGGGAAAGAAAAGCAGCAGGUUAAUACCCCGCUGUUCUGACGGUACCCAAAGAAUAAGCACCGGCUAACUUCGUG
rnacentral:rRNA from 1 species